rnacentral:lncRNA from 1 species
AUACUCAAGGCCAGAGGAUUCUAGAAGGAUCACCAUGAAAAUGGGGCCCAGCAUCCAGUAGGUGCUCAGGUCCUUCAUGGGACGGCGUCAGAGACCCUGGUUCUGUUCUGGCUCUGGCCGAAUGUGCUGAGCGAGUCCCCCACCCGUCUUGUGCUGGGUUUGAUAUUUCUGGGCUCCCUUCCAGAUUUAUAGGCGUGUGUUCCUGAGCUCUCAUUCACUGUCCACAGCCCAACACAUGGCCUAAAAACAACAGAUACGAUGAAAGAGAUCUUGCCUGCAGAUGAAAGCAAGAGGGAAACCGGCCUCCCCCAGCCCUGGCCUGGCCCUGGGCCCACUGCACAUUGUGGUCAAGGCAAAGUCAGGGCUGGGACGUCUGGAGAAGGCCAGAAGGCUCCUGCCCACCCAUGGGCCUGGGGCUUCCAGGGGCCCUGGUGCAAAGCCUCGGAUGAAGUACUGGGGGAGGCAAAAGGAAAUGGAGGCCCUGUUUCUGGGGGCAAUCGGCUGGCAUGCCAGGAAGGGGGCCUUGGCAGAGCCUAGAGUCAGACAGGGUGAUGACAAAUGACCCCGGGGCCCCUCCAGCACCGCCCCUGGGGACUCUGCCUUGCCCACUCUACUCCAGCCACUCAGGCUUCCUUCUGUUCCUUGAAACUCAGCAAGCUCAUCUCCCUCCACCCCAGGGCCUCUGCACACAGUGCCCACACCGCCGGAAUGCUCUCCUCCGCACCCUCCCGAGACCUCCUCGGCCUUCAGGUUUCAGAUUGAAUGAUGCCUCCUCCAAGAGCCUCCGACUGGUGACCCAAUCCAUUCUCCAAUCCAGCCCUCUGUUUUCUUAAUGUACUUGGCACACUUUAUAAUCAUUUGUUGUAGUGAUUAUAGGUGAUUUAAUAAAUUAACAUUUUCAUAUCA